AACGGUCUAUACCUGCGGUACCUGCGGAAGGAUCAUUACCGAGUUAUCAACUCCCAAACCCCUGUGAACAUACCCGAACGUCGCCUCGGCGGGACCGCCCCGGCGCCCCUAGCGGCCCGGAACCAGGCGCCCGCCGGAGGACCCAAACUCUUGCUUUAAACAGUGGCAUACUCUCUGAGUCUCACAAACAAAAAAUAAAUCAAAACUUUCAGCAACGGAUCUCUAGAUCGGAAGAGCACA
rnacentral:misc_RNA from 1 species